UUGUAGAGAUCUUGGCACAAACGAUUUACAGCUGUUUGGAGCCUUAACAUAUAAUAGAAAGGGCCUGCUGGGUCUGGUAUUUGCUGACACAGCCUGGAGUCAAUGGAAAAGUCUGGGCUUCUCUUUUGAGGUCCUCACAGUGAAGGAUUUGCAGACUGUAAAGUACACAAGACGCUAAGAAUCAUCCUUAGCACAGCCAAAGUGCUUCUCUGCAGGGCUCCAGGGAAUCCGGUCAGCAAGGAAAUUACGAUACAAAGCAAAACAAAAAUAAGAAGAAAGCAGAUUUGUGAAAGCUUAAGUCAGAUUCAGAAAUCUCUCCUUGCCUGAAGCAUGAGAACAGACACAGCAUGAAGGCGGAAUCUUUAAGGGAGUCGCCUGUGUCAUCAAGGGUCUAGAUUACAUCAUCACUGAUUUCAUCUUUUCCAUCUCCUAAUUUUAAUGUCUCUGUUUUCCCAAAGGCUGCUGUAAUUUAUCCCAUGGGUUCUCAAAAUAAGUGACAUUUAAAAUAGAAACAUGGCUUCUGUGUUUUCGGUAUUGUCUUUGCCAUUUGUUGAUACCACACCUAUCUGCAGAGAUAAGUACUUUCUGU
rnacentral:lncRNA from 1 species